GGAUCUUGAAAUACUGUUGAGAGACAAACUGACCCUCAUGACUCAGAAGUGAGGUUGCCUGUGGACCGCUCUGCAGUAGGAAUCCUUAAGUGAAGCUAGCAUUUAAGCACAGGAAAUGCCAAUGGGCACAAGGAGGAGCCAGGGGAAUGGUUAACCAGGAGCAGAAACCACCCGGAUCAUCUCCCAGGAGCAGGAGGAAAGCACUGAGUCACUGGCGCCCACCCCCACGUCACUAAAUCUGGGGAAACCAGAAGGUCGUGCUGCCCCUGGCCUGAGGUUGCCUGGGAGUCAUCAUGAGCCACCAAUAAGAGACUUGACUUGUGACCGUGUGUAACUGAAAUACCUGGUUUGAAGCGGACAUCCUGAUGCUGAAAUCUCCCUCUCUCACCAGCUGUGCGGCUUCAGGGAGUUCAUUCACUUUUACUGAGUCACACACCCUUCAUUUGUAAAGUGAGGUCAUCUCCACAUGGCUCCCUCACAAAUGGUGGCAAAGAUUCAAUAUGUUAAUGGAUAGCGAGUUACUUUAAAGCUACAGUGCUCUGCAUGAAGUAUGGUAUUUGUGUUUCUCCCUUACUUCUACCACCUCCUCCAAAACCAGGCUGCUCUUGGUCAGAUCAAUUCUUAGUGUGAUUUGGCAGAGGCUAUGCCUUCCCAGUCCCAUCACUUCAUGCCAAAUAGAUGGAUAAACAAUGGAAACUGGCUGACAAUUUUUUUGGGCUCCAAAAUCACUGCAGAUGGUGACCGCAGCCAUGAAAUUAAAGAACUCUUGG